UCAAGUGAAGAAGCGCAUACGGUGGAUGCCUUGGCAGUCAGAGGCGAUGAAAGACGUGGUAGCCUGCGAAAAGCUUCGGGGAGUCGGCAAACAGACUGUGAUCCGGAGAUGUCUGAAUGGGGGAACCCAGCCAUCAUAAGAUGGUUAUCUUACACUGAAUACAUAGGUGUAAGAGGCGAACCAGGGGAACUGAAACAUCUAAGUACCCUGAGGAAAAGAAAUCAACCGAGAUUCCCUUAGUAGUGGCGAGCGAACGGGGACCAGCCCUUAAGUUGUAUUGAGAUUAGCGGAACGCUCUGGAAAGGGCGGCCAUAGUGGGUGAUAGCCCUGUACGCGAAAAUCCCUUUGCAAUGAAAUCGAGUAGGACGGGGCACGAGAAACCUUGUCUGAAUAUGGGGGGACCAUCCUCCAAGGCUAAAUACUACUGACUGACCGAUAGUGAACCAGUACCGUGAGGGAAAGGCGAAAAGAACCGCGGAGAGCGGAGUGAAAUAGAUCCUGAAACCGUAUGCGUACAAGCAGUGGGAGCCCACGUUGUUGGGUGACUGCGUACCUUUUGUAUAAUGGGUCAGCGACUUAUUUUCAGUGGCGAGCUUAACCGAAUAGGGGAGGCGUAGCGAAAGCGAGUCUUAAUAGGGCGUCUAGUCGCUGGGAAUAGACCCGAAACCGGGCGAUCUAUCCAUGGGCAGGUUGAAGGUUGGGUAACACUAACUGGAGGACCGAACCGACUACCGUUGAAAAGUUAGCGGAUGACCUGUGGAUCGGAGUGAAAGGCUAAUCAAGCUCGGAGAUAGCUGGUUCUCCUCGAAAGCUAUUUAGGUAGCGCCUCAUGUAUCACUGUAGGGGGUAGAGCACUGUUUCGGCUAGGGGGUCAUCCCGACUUACCAAACCGAUGCAAACUCCGAAUACCUACAAGUGCCGAGCAUGGGAGACACACGGCGGGUGCUAACGUCCGUCGUGAAAAGGGAAACAACCCAGACCGUCAGCUAAGGUCCCAAAGUCAUGGUUAAGUGGGAAACGAUGUGGGAAGGCUUAGACAGCUAGGAGGUUGGCUUAGAAGCAGCCACCCUUUAAAGAAAGCGUAAUAGCUCACUAGUCGAGUCGGCCUGCGCGGAAGAUGUAACGGGGCUCAAACCAUGCACCGAAGCUACGGGUAUCACCUUUGGUGAUGCGGUAGAGGAGCGUUCUGUAAGCCUGUGAAGGUGAGUUGAGAAGCUUGCUGGAGGUAUCAGAAGUGCGAAUGCUGACAUGAGUAACGACAAUGGGUGUGAAAAACACCCACGCCGAAAGACCAAGGUUUCCUGCGCAACGUUAAUCGACGCAGGGUUAGUCGGUCCCUAAGGCGAGGCUGAAAAGCGUAGUCGAUGGAAAACAGGUUAAUAUUCCUGUACUUCUGGUUAUUGCGAUGGAGGGACGGAGAAGGCUAGGCCAGCCUGGCGUUGGUAGUCCAGGUUUAAGGUGGUAGGCUGAGAUCUUAGGUAAAUCCGGGAUCUUAAGGCCGAGAGCUGAUGACGAGUGUUCUUUUAGAACAUGAAGUGGUUGAUGCCAUGCUUCCAAGAAAAGCUUCUAAGCUUCAGGUAACCAGGAACCGUACCCCAAACCGACACAGGUGGUUGGGUAGAGAAUACCAAGGCGCUUGAGAGAACUCGGGUGAAGGAACUAGGCAAAAUGGCACCGUAACUUCGGGAGAAGGUGCGCCGGUGAGGGUGAAGCAUUUACUGCGUAAGCCCACGCCGGUCGAAGAUACCAGGCCGCUGCGACUGUUUAUUAAAAACACAGCACUCUGCAAACACGAAAGUGGACGUAUAGGGUGUGACGCCUGCCCGGUGCCGGAAGGUUAAUUGAUGGGGUUAGCGCAAGCGAAGCUCUUGAUCGAAGCCCCGGUAAACGGCGGCCGUAACUAUAACGGUCCUAAGGUAGCGAAAUUCCUUGUCGGGUAAGUUCCGACCUGCACGAAUGGCGUAACGAUGGCGGCGCUGUCUCCACCCGAGACUCAGUGAAAUUGAAAUCGCUGUGAAGAUGCAGUGUAUCCGCGGCUAGACGGAAAGACCCCGUGAACCUUUACUAUAGCUUUGCACUGGACUUUGAAUUUGCUUGUGUAGGAUAGGUGGGAGGCUUUGAAGCGUGGACGCCAGUCUGCGUGGAGCCAACCUUGAAAUACCACCCUGGCAACUUUGAGGUUCUAACUCAGGUCCGUUAUCCGGAUCGAGGACAGUGUAUGGUGGGUAGUUUGACUGGGGCGGUCUCCUCCUAAAGAGUAACGGAGGAGUACGAAGGUGCGCUCAGACCGGUCGGAAAUCGGUCGUAGAGUAUAAAGGCAAAAGCGCGCUUGACUGCGAGACAGACACGUCGAGCAGGUACGAAAGUAGGUCUUAGUGAUCCGGUGGUUCUGUAUGGAAGGGCCAUCGCUCAACGGAUAAAAGGUACUCCGGGGAUAACAGGCUGAUACCGCCCAAGAGUUCAUAUCGACGGCGGUGUUUGGCACCUCGAUGUCGGCUCAUCACAUCCUGGGGCUGAAGCCGGUCCCAAGGGUAUGGCUGUUCGCCAUUUAAAGUGGUACGCGAGCUGGGUUUAGAACGUCGUGAGACAGUUCGGUCCCUAUCUGCCGUGGACGUUUGAGAUUUGAGAGGGGCUGCUCCUAGUACGAGAGGACCGGAGUGGACGAACCUCUGGUGUUCCGGUUGUCACGCCAGUGGCAUUGCCGGGUAGCUAUGUUCGGAAAAGAUAACCGCUGAAAGCAUCUAAGCGGGAAACUUGCCUCAAGAUGAGAUCUCACUGGAACCUUGAGUUCCCUGAAGGGCCGUCGAAGACUACGACGUUGAUAGGUUGGGUGUGUAAGCGCUGUGAGGCGUUGAGCUAACCAAUACUAAUUGCCCGUGAGGCUUGACCAU
rnacentral:rRNA from 1 species